AAUAAUUUUUUUAUAGAUUAAAAAAUUUAUUAAAAAUUUAUUUUACAUAUAAAUUUUAGUUUAUUUAAAUUAUUUAAAAAAUAAUUUAUUAAAAAUGUAGUAAUUAAUAUUGAAUAUUUAAGGAAUUAAGAUUUAGUAAUAUGAUAUAAUUAAUAACAAAUUUUGUGCCAGCAGUUGCGGUUAAACAAAAAUUAAAUUAAAUUUUAUUAGUUAAUUAAAUAAUAAGUGAAAUUAUAUAAUUAAAAAAUUAAAUUAUUAAGUGAAAUUUUAAUUUAAUAAAAUAUUAUAAAAUUUUUAUGUUUUAAUAAAUUUUUUUUAAGACUAGGAUUAGAUACCCUAUUAUGAAAAUUUUAAAUUUUAAUACUAAAAUAGUAGAUUAUAAAUAUUGAAACUUAAAUAAUUUGGCGGUAUUUUAGUUCAUUUAGAGGAAUCUGUUUAUUAAUUGAUAAUCCACGAAUAAAUUUACUUAAUUUUUAAUUUUGUAUAUCGUUGUUAAAAAAAUAUUUUAUAAUAAAAAUAAUAUUUAAAAAUUAUUAAUAAAAUUAAAUCAGAUCAAGAUGCAGAUUAUAAUUAAGAAUAUAAUGGAUUACAAUAAAUUUAUUUAAAUGAAUAUUAAUAUGAAAUUUUUAAUUGAAAUUGGAUUUAAAUGUAAUUUUUUUUUUAUUUUAUAGAAAUGAUUAUAAAUUAAAAUAUGUACAUAUUGCCCGUCGCUUUCAUAUAAAUAUUUAAAUUGAAAUAAGUCGUAACAAAGUAGAGGUACUGGAAAGUGUUUCUAGAAAGAU
rnacentral:ncRNA from 1 species